GGGCAGUUAGCUCAGUUGGUUAGAGCGAACGGUUUACAUCCGUUAGGUCAUAGGUUCGAAUCCUAUACUGCCCA
rfam:Parcubacteria (Magasanikbacteria) bacterium GW2011_GWA2_42_32 TV20_C0002, whole genome shotgun sequence.